GUGCUUGCUUUGGCAGUACAUAAAGUUGGAAUGAUAAAGUAAAGAUCAACAUGACCCCUGCACAAGAAUGACAUGAAAAUUUUUGAAGUAUCCCAUAUUAUU
ensembl:snRNA U6 U6 spliceosomal RNA